CACAGUACUCUCUCUUCCUUAUGCAUCUACAAGAUCCAAACUUCUCUCACAGUGCAGGAUGAUCAGGGAACAUAACAGUGCCAGAAGACAUUUUAAAGUUAAAACAUGGGCCUGAAUUCCAGAAGAAUGAAGUGAUCUGGGGAGACAAAGGUUGCUAUUUCUCUUGUAUCUUUUUCCAAAUUCACCUUGGAAUUCCCAUCUUGUCAAAUUCAAUUAAAAUAAUCCAGGUAAAGAAUAUCUAAUUGACUUUCUCUGCCUAAGUAAGUAAAACCGGUACAGCUUAUUUUGUGAAAACAACAUGGCAUUCCAUUUCACUUCCUAAUUAUUUUCUGAAAGUUUCAAGGUUUAUUGGAAGCCUCAGUGCUGUUACAUGCAGCAGACUGUGCACAGACCAGAGACACUCAGCUUCUAGAGUUUAUUUACAAGGCUCUCAAAUGUUGGCACUGCAAAACUUGAUGGAUCUCUUCACUUUCCUUGCUCUUAGGAUCUUCUUUAUGUCAUGGCAGGCCAGGACUGUUUGAAAAUUACAGUGGAAAGCUACACUGUAAAUUAGUACACUAGUAAACUUUCUAACUGAUUUGUUAGCCUUAAUGUCAAGUAAGUUUUCUUUUCAUGGGUAGUACUAUUGCUCUUUGGAACCUGUUUUGUUUCUUUUUUUUAUAUUCUGUGUCUUUAUAUGUAAACUUCAAUAAAGUUAUUUACAAAAUAAA